rnacentral:tRNA from 1 species
UCCCUGGCAAUCCAGUGAUUAGGACUCGGCACUCUUACAGCUGAGGGCCCAGGUUCAAUCCCUGGUAAGGGAA